UUGAUGAAAUUCAUUUGCUCACACAUCCAUAUUCCUCUGGAGAAAUAUAUUACUGUCUUUUCUCUUUCUAAAACAAAGAGAGUGUUCUUAUUUUAACCUUCUCUCCGCGUCUAAGAUGUUUUAUUUCUCUGUUCUGAACUUUUUAAUUCUUUGCCUUUGUAGUCAAAAAUUGAUCAAAGAGACUGUCAUAAAAAAAUUGUUCAAAGAGAUACGGGAUCAAAAUUUUGAAGUUGUCGUCCAGGUUGAUUUAUCUUCUCUCCAGUUUUUUAAUAACAAAGUCUAGGUGACUUCGGCAUACAUAUCGAUCUUUCAUGUCCUAUCAUAAGAUUCAGUUGAUCAUCUUGUUUCCUUAGUCUUCUGGUUCUUUAAUUGUCAUUUGCAGUAUGAUUGUAGGUUCUACGUCAAAAAGCAACUUCUGUGAAGCAAGAUUACACAGAAAUGCAGACCAUGAACCAAAUAGUCUCCAAAUUGAAGGAUUUUGUCAAAAAGUUAAACUCAUUGCCGGAAAAGUUCAUUCAUGGGAUUUCAUCAAAGAUUUUGCAAUAUAAAUCAGUAAAAUUUGUCUGCACUAUUCUCACUAUUAACUUUCUUCACAAUUGCAGGAGACCAAAAGCAACUGGAUAACAAUUAAACGUGCUCUGUGGCUUGUAGUGGAGUCCCAACGAUAUCUUCUAUGACGACCUAUUGAAGAAAGAUUGAAGUUGCUGCCAGGUCUACACUCAGAUAUUAAGAGGGGUGGAUUUUCCAGUAGUCCGUUGCUGGACUCAUUAAACGGGUCUUUGCAUAACUCAGACAAAGUUGUUGAUGGAAGGCGUUCUUUGGUUCUUGUCGUUUUCAUUGGUGGAGACAUCUGCAGAGAUCUCAGCUCUUCACUUCCUAACCGCCCAUGUCAGUCUACUAAGCCUUAAUCAUGUAAAUUCCCAGCUCUCGUUGGAAACACACUAUAGAAAAGGAACUCAAAAGAUAAAUAACACUGUUAUACUAUUACAGGAAGUGAUGGAAUAUGACAUAAUUGUAGCAACUACAAAAAUUGUCAAUGGAAGCACAUUGACAUAAACAUUUGUGGAGAAAAUGGGAUUGUUUGCUAAGACCUAUUUGGUCGAUUAUCACUGGGAAAUCUAGCUGCUUGCGCGAUAGGGACCCGUAGUUUUCGGUGCUACAUUUUUAUAUACAUGUGAGAAGAUCAAGUAGACUUAUUGUUCCUAAGAUGUUCCUCUCGUGAUAGGUUGUGAACAUUAUUUCUGCUUGGAUUUGUAACGAACACAACUAUGUUGUCUUUAUUAAGGUAUUGCCUAAGAACGCCCUGUGUGCUUUGAGUGGUAUAA